rnacentral:rRNA from 1 species
AGUGAACGCUGGCGGUAGGCCUAACACAUGCAAGUCGAACGGCAGCACAGUAAGAGCUUGCUCUUACGGGUGGCGAGUGGCGGACGGGUGAGGAAUACAUCGGAAUCUACUUUUUCGUGGGGGAUAACGUAGGGAAACUUACGCUAAUACCGCAUACGACCUACGGGUGAAAGCAGGGGAUCUUCGGACCUUGCGCGAUUGAAUGAGCCGAUGUCGGAUUAGCUAGUUGGCGGGGUAAAGGCCCACCAAGGCGACGAUCCGUAGCUGGUCUGAGAGGAUGAUCAGCCACACUGGAACUGAGACACGGUCCAGACUCCUACGGGAGACAGCAGUACGGAAUAUUGGACAAUGGGCGCAAGCCUGAUCCAUCCAUACCGCGUGGGUGAAGAAGGCCUUCGGGUUGUAAAGCCCUUUUGUUGGGAAAGAAAAGCAGCAGGUUAAUACCCCGCUGUUCUGACGGUACCCAAAGAAUAAGCACCGGCUAACUUCGUG